GCUGUGAUGGCCGAGUGGUUAAGGCGUUGGACUUGAAAUCCAAUAGGCUUCCCCUGUGCAGGUUCAAAUCCUGCUCACAGCG